CGAAGGGUGAUGCUAAAGAGGAUUGCGGAAUUAGCGAGACUCACUAUGGGAACUCUUUUAAUGACGAGUCCUCGUCUGAAAACGGGGUGCAUAUUUCGACUGUUGCUGCUGAGGAGGUUUUGGCAAGUGGAGCUAAGGAUAAAAGUAUUAGAGUUUUUUCACCGGAGCAUCGCAGUGGUAAUACAUCCAAAAGAGGCAGAUCCAGAUCAAGAAGUCGUGCUGAUAAACAGAUCAGGGAAGCUCCGUCGGCCCAGAAGCUUAAUCAGAAAAAUGCUAAAAAAUCGUUGGUUACGGCAUGGACCAAGAAUUUCUUAAAUCAGAAUAUGUUGCUUUCGAAGAGAAAAGGGGUUAAAGGCAGCGUCCCUAAUAAAAAAGCCCCUACAGGUAUGCUUGGCAAGAAAGCGGUCCAGAGUCAAAUACCUCAACAAAAUGAAGACUUCUCGAAGGAGACGGUGGAUUCCUCUAUUAGUAACUCUAUUACUGACUCGGGAAUUAUGAAUGUGAAUCUUCGUUCUUUAUCCAAGGACGAAAGGAAGGCUAAGAAAUUAAUGGUUACUGGUAAAAAGGUUGGGGUCACUUUCAAAG
rnacentral:lncRNA from 1 species